rnacentral:tRNA from 1 species
GCCUAGCUGGUUCAGUCGGUAGAGCAUGAGACUCGUGAUCUUCGGGUUGUAGGUUUGAGCCCAUACUGGGUG